rnacentral:lncRNA from 1 species
AGGACACUAUGCUUUAUUGUUAAAGCCAAGAGGGACCCUUUUUUUCUUUCUUUUUAUGUUCAAUGUAAGAAAGGUAUAGAUACUUUACUCCCUAAAAACUAUAUCCUAUUUUUGGUGUUAAAUUUUAAAUAUUAUGUUUUAAAUUUAUCCAUGGAACUAAAAAAGUAAAUUGCUAAUUAGUAUAAAAUUUAUUACUAAACAUUUUAGAUUUAUUUUGUUUAUCUUUUAACAAUUUUGAUUUUAUCCUUUAUAUAUUGAAUCUUUAUUAACACAAAAUGUUCAAGAUUAAUUGAGAGAACUAAAAAACCCUAUCAAAGAUAUUCAAUGUUUCAAUUUGAUCAUAUAGACAUAUCACUCAACUAUAAAAUAAAAUAUUUACUACAUCCAUAUGGCUUAGUAUUAAAUGAAGAAAAACCUCCAACCUCGAAUUUGAAGAUAGUUGUAUACGUUAACUAUUGCUACAUUAUAUUCACUUUGAUAAGAAAAAUUUGUUAAUUGUUAUAGAAAGUUGAUACAUUGUUGAAAUAAAUGUUGGUAUUGUAACAACCAUCAAUUUCAUAAUACUAUAGGUUUUCAUAUAAAUAUUUUAACAUAUAAUUAGUGAUUGUAAGGACUAAAUGGAAAAGAAAAAUUAACACCCAAAAACAAUGACAUUUACAUAUAUUAAGAAGAUCAAUUUUCAAAUUAAAAUAAGGAAAGUAACCAAAAAAAAAUUAUCACUCAUCACACCAUGCUUCGCCACCGUCGUUGCCUCCGCCUUUUCAGGACAACCCCGUCGACAUGGGAGUAGCUAUAAAGCUUGGGUUAACUUGUCCAGCCAUUAUAACCAAGACCUUGUCGUUAAACAUGGCGCAUGGUAGCGGAUUCAGAUCACCGUCGCUUUUGCCUCGACCAGACUCCAUGUCAGCAUCUCGAGCAGCACCGUGGUUGCCGUUCAAUAUAGAAACAGAAACCUUCCGGCAAUAGGAACAGCCAAGGAUCAAUAGAGAAAAAGAGAUAAGAAUACAAACGGCAGCAAGGGCACCGAAUAAGUACGGUAAGGGCGAAUGCCAUGGUGUGAUGGGGGCGGCUGCCUCUGCCUCCAUGUGGUGAUAAGAGAUUCUCUCUGGUGGUUGCAGCAAUGGCUAUCUAUUAUCAGUUCUAUGGUAUGUGAGCUUUUUGUUGUUUGUAUUAAAGAGUUUUUUGGAAAGAAGAUGGGAAUGAAAAUGAAAUGCAUGAAAAGGUAUCUACAUAUAUUUAUAUUUUUUUAUUUCUGUAAUUACAAUUUUACCCUCAUAACUCUUGAUUUUGUGUAUUGUGUGUGUGUAUGUAAUUCAUAUUAGAGAGGAAUUAGGAAGAAACUAAUAAAGUCUUAAAAUAAAAAAUGUUUUCAAACAUAAUCUAAAUUUCAAUUUUAUAUUCGCAUAUUUAAA